UGGAGGUUAUUUGUACCAGCUCAUAGAUAGAUAUAUUUAAAUCUACUUUGAGUCGGUACGAAUCACUUCUACC